rnacentral:rRNA from 1 species
UGGUUGUAAAGCACUUUAAGCAGGGAGGAGAGGCUAAUGGUUAAUACCCAUUAGAUUAGACGUUACCUGCAGAAUAAGCACCGGCUAACUCUGUGCCAGCAGCCGCGGUAAU